GCAUCCUGGCUACCCCUCUUUUCCCUGAGGUUAUGCAGAGGGAUCGCUAUCUGCAACUGCUGCGAUUCCUUCAUUUUAAUGACAACUCACUGUGUCCCCCUAGAAAUGACCCACUGUUUGACAGGCUCUAUAAAAUUCUGCCCUUUAUCCAACUGCUGUCAGACAAAUUUUCUGAAAAUUAUAUCCCCGAUAAAGAUAUUUCAAUUGACGAGUCCCUUAUGAAAUUCAAAGGUC